rnacentral:rRNA from 1 species
UACAGAGGUCUCAAGCGUUGUUCGGAUUCAUUGGGCUUAAAGGGUGCGUAGGUGGAUUGAUAAGUCAGUGGUGAAAUCUCCAGGCUUAACCUGGAAACUGCCAUUGAUACUGUCAAUCUUGAAUAUGUUUGAUGUGGGCGGAAUAUGACAUGUAGCGGUGAAAUGCUUAGAUAUGUCAUAGAACACCGAUUGCGAAGGCAGCUCACAAAGCCAUUAUUGACACUGAGGCACGAAAGUGUGGGGAGCAAACAGG